GACGAACGCUGGCGGCGCGCUUAACACAUGCAAGUCGAACGGAAAGGUCUGCUUUCCCUUGUGGAUUGCGGGUACUCGAGUGGCGAACGGGUGAGUAACACGUGAGUGAUCUGCCCCCAACUUGGGUAUAAGCCUGGGAAACUGGGUCUAAUUCCCGAUAGGACUGCAGGGUGGUGCCUGUGGUGGAAAACGAUUUUCUAGUGGUUGGGGAUGAGCUCGCGGCCUAUCAGCUUGUUGGUGGGGUAAUGGCCUACCAAGGCGGCGACGGGUAGCCGGCCUGAGAGGGUGGACGGCCACAUUGGGACUGAGAUACGGCCCAGACUCCUACGGGAGGCAGCAGUGGGGAAUAUUGCACAAUGGGCGGAAGCCUGAUGCAGCGACGCCGCGUGGGGGAUGACGGCCUUCGGGUUGUAAACUCCUUUCGACCGCGAGGAAGCCACCUGGUUGGAAGGGUGGUGACGGUAGUGGUAGAAGAAGCACCGGCUAACUACGUG
rnacentral:rRNA from 1 species